rnacentral:rRNA from 1 species
AUUAGAGUUUGAUCCUGGCUCAGAUUGAACGCUGGCGGCAUGCCUUACACAUGCAAGUCGAACGGCAGCGGGUCCUUCGGGACGCCGGCGAGUGGCGAACGGGUGAGUAAUGCAUCGGAACGUACCCAGUAGUGGGGGAUAACUUACCGAAAGGUAAGCUAAUACCGCAUACGCACUGAGGUGGAAAGCAGGGGACCGCAAGGCCUUGCGCUAUUGGAGCGGCCGAUGUCGGAUUAGCUAGUUGGUGGGGUAAAGGCCUACCAAGGCGACGAUCCGUAGCGGGUCUGAGAGGAUGAUCCGCCACACUGGAACUGAGACACGGUCCAGACUCCUACGGGAGGCAGCAGUGGGGAAUUUUGGACAAUGGGCGCAAGCCUGAUCCAGCCAUGCCGCGUGAGUGAAGAAGGCCUUCGGGUUGUAAAGCUCUUUCGGCCGGGAAGAAAUCGUGGUGGCUAAUACCUGCCAUGGAUGACGGUACCGGACUAAGAAGCACCGGCUAACUACGUGCCAGCAGCCGCGGUAAUACGUAGGGUGCGAGCGUUAAUCGGAAUUACUGGGCGUAAAGCGUGCGCAGGCGGUUGUGUAAGGCAGGCGUGAAAUCCCCGGGCUCAACCUGGGAACUGCGCUUGUGACUGCACGGCUAGAGUACGGCAGAGGGGGGUGGAAUUCCACGUGUAGCAGUGAAAUGCGUAGAGAUGUGGAGGAACACCGAUGGCGAAGGGCAGCCCCCUGGGUCGAUACUGACGCUCAUGCACGAAAGCGUGGGGAGCAAACAGGAUUAGAUACCCUGGUAGUCCACGCCCUAAACGAUGUCGACUAGUUGUUGGAGGGGUAAAACCCUUUAGUAACGUAGCUAACGCGUGAAGUCGACCGCCUGGGGAGUACGGCCGCAAGGUUAAAACUCAAAGGAAUUGACGGGGACCCGCACAAGCGGUGGAUGAUGUGGAUUAAUUCGAUGCAACGCCAAAAACCUUACCUACCCUUGACAUGCCAGGAACUUGCCAGAGAUGGCUUGGUGCCCGCAAGGGAACCUGGACACAGGUGCUGCAUGACUGUCGUCAGCUCGUGUCGUGAGAUGUUGGGUUAAGUCCCGCAACGAGCGCAACCCUCGUCCUUAGUUGCUAACGUUGCCGAAAGGCUGCGUGCACUCUAGGGAGACCGCCGGCGAUAAGCUGGAGGAAGGUGGGGAUGACGUCAAGUCCUCAUGGCCCUUAUGUCCCGGGCUACACACACGCUACAAUGGCCUGAACAAAGGGUUGCAAGACCGCGAGGUGGAGCUAAUCCCAAAAAUCAGGCCUCAGUUCAGAUUGCAGGCUGCAACUCGCCUGCAUGAAGACGGAGUUGCUAGUAACCGCAGGUCAGCUAUACUGCGGUGAAUACGUUCUCGGGGCUUGCACACACCGCCCGUCA